CAGAGAGGAAAUGGAGUCUCUGCUGUGCCUUCUUGAUGGUAGCCAUAGUGUUUGUGCUCCAAAUCAGGUCGUCUCUCAAAUACACGCCCAGAAAACAAAAUUCAGAGACCCACUCCACGAAGUCCCCAUCGAUAAGCAGUGGCUGGAUGACUGUUUUCCUCCUUCUAUAGUCCAUAGUCUUUGAGGUGUUGAGGAUCAAAUUGUUCUCCCUACAACAGACCGACAACCGCUGCACCUCCUCUCUAUAGGCGGACUCAUCAUCACCAGAAAUGAGUCCCACCACAGUAGUGUCAUCAGCAAACUUAAUGAUAUUGUUGCUGAAGUGACAGGGGGUGCAGUCAUAGGUGUAGAGGAUGUAGAGC